CAGUCGCCGCGGUAAUACGAAGGGUGCAAGCGUUAAUCGGAAUUACUGGGCGUAAAGCGUGCGUAGGCGGUGAGUUAAGUCUGCUGUGAAAUCCUCGGGCUCAACCUGGGAAUGGCAGUGGAUACUGGCUCGCUAGAGUGUGUCAGAGGAUGGUGGAAUUCCCGGUGUAGCGGUGAAAUGCGUAGAGAUCGGGAGGAACAUCAGUGGCGAAGGCGGCCAUCUGGGACAACACUGACGCUGAGGCACGAAAGCGUGGGGAGCAAACAGUAUUAGAUACCCCGGUAGUCCCUGUCUCUUAUAC
rnacentral:rRNA from 1 species